rnacentral:rRNA from 1 species
AACUCUGAGACAGGUGCUGCAUGGCUGUCGUCAGCUCGUGUUGUGAAAUGUGGGUUAAGUCCCGCAACGAGCGCAACCCUUAUCCUUUGUUGCCAGCGGCUCGGCCGGGAACUCAAAGGAGACUGCCGGUGAUAAACCGGAGGAAGGUGGGGAUGACGUCAAGUCAUCAUGGCCCUUACGGCCAGGGCUACACACGUGCUACAAUGGCGCAUACAAAGAGAAGCGACCUCGCGAGAGCAAGCGGACCUCAUAAAGUGCGUCGUAGUCCGGAUUGGAGUCUGCAACUCGACUCCAUGAAGUCGGAAUCGCUAGUAAUCGUAGAUCAGAAUGCUACGGUGAAUACGUUCCCGGGCCUUGUACACACCGCCCGUCACACCAUGGGAGUGGGUUGCAAAAGAAGUAGGUAGCUUAACCUUCGGGAGGGCGCUUACCACUUUGUGAUUCAUGACUGGGGUGAAGUCGUAACAAGGUAGGCGUACGUGU